rnacentral:rRNA from 1 species
UACGGAGGGGGCUAGCGUUGUUCGGAAUUACUGGGCGUAAAGCGCACGUAGGCGGCUUUGUAAGUUAGAGGUGAAAGCCCGGAGCUCAACUCCGGAAUUGCCUUUAAGACUGCAUCGCUAGAAUUGUGGAGAGGUGAGUGGAAUUCCGAGUGUAGAGGUGAAAUUCGUAGAUAUUCGGAAGAACACCAGUGGCGAAGGCGGCUCACUGGCCCGGUACUGACGCUGAGGUGCGAAAGCGUGGGGAGCAAACAGG